rnacentral:rRNA from 1 species
GACGAACGCUGGCGGCGUGCUUAACACAUGCAAGUCGAACGGAAAGGCCCUGCUUGCAGGGUACUCGAGUGGCGAACGGGUGAGUAACACGUGGGUGAUCUGCCCUGCACUUCGGGAUAAGCCUGGGAAACUGGGUCUAAUACCGGAUAGGAGCCAUUUUUAGUGUGAUGGUUGGAAAGUUUUUUCGGUGUAGGAUGAGCUCGCGGCCUAUCAGCUUGUUGGUGGGGUAAUGGCCUACCAAGGCGGCGACGGGUAGCCGGCCUGAGAGGGUGGACGGCCACAUUGGGACUGAGAUACGGCCCAGACUCCUACGGGAGGCAGAAGUGGGGAAUAUUGCACAAGGGGCGCAAGCCUGAUGCAGCGACGCCGCAGGGGGGAUGACGGCCUUCGGGUUGUAAACUCCUUUCGCUAGGGACGAAGCUUUUUGUGACGGUACCUAGAUAAGAAGCACCGGCUAACUACGUG